rnacentral:rRNA from 1 species
UGGGGCAUAUUACACAAUGGGCGCAAGCCUGAUGCAGCAACGCCGCGUGAGGGAUGACGGCCUUCGGGUUGUAAACCUCUUUUAGUAGGGAAGAAGCGUAAGUGACGGUACCUGCAGAAAAAGCACCGGCUAACUACGUGCCAGCAGCCGCGGUAAUACGUAGGGUGCAAGCGUUGUCCGGAAUUAUUGGGCGUAAAGAGCUCGUAGGCGGCUUGUCGCGUCUGCUGUGAAAUCCCGGGGCUCAACUCCGGGCCUGCAGUGGGUACGGGCAAGCUAGAGUGCGGUAGGGGAGAUUGGAAUUCCUGGUGUAGCGGUGGAAUGCGCAGAUAUCAGGAGGAACACCGAUGGCGAAGGCAGAUCUCUGGGCCGUAACUGACGCUGAGGAGCGAAAGCAUGGGGAGCGAACA